CUGGACAGUGACAGUCCUCAUAACAAAAAAAAAUUAAGUUUACAAAAUAUUUCAAAUAUUUGCUCAAUUAAUAAUUUAAUUCUUCUUACUGUAAAAUUGACUAGGCCAAAGGUUUUCAGUAAGCUUUUAUGUGUUCAGGACACAUAGUUUAAACAGUGAGAUAUUGUAGCAGAAGGUGACAUGGCACACAUUCUGCCAGAAGGUGGAGCUUCAGGAAAGAUUCUAUUUCAGUCUCAGUUCAGCUGUUUUAAAACAGAGCAGACACACAUUGAGUCGCUCACACUUUAGAAGAGAACUGUAAGUAUUGAUCCUCAAAGUUAUUGUUUUUAUCAGUGCAGAUGUUGCUCCUCGUAUUCCUGACAUUUUCUCUCCUAAAAGAGACUGCUGGUGAAGAUGUCAUAAAACCAGUCGUCACAGAGAAGCAUGUUUUGGAAGGAAAAGAUGUUACACUGAUCUGCAAAUACACUGAAACUGUUCAAAAUUUACAAUGGUAUCGUCAGUAUCCUGGAUCCAAACCUGAGCACCUCAUCACGUUCUAUGAGACCACUCCACAUAAAGACACCACUCUCCGUCUGAACGCUGCGGCUGAUAAAACAGCCAAAAAUAUGAAUUUGACGAUCUCUUCUACAGAAGUGACAGACUCUGCCAUGUACUACUGUGCCCUGCAGCCCACAUUGACAGGAAACACAACUACACUGUACAAAAACUGAGUGAGAAAUAUAUUUGCGGAAGAUGAUGAUGCACAAUGCAGUUUUCUGAACUGCACACUAAUCUGCUACAUGUUGGAAUACAUUUUAAAUGGAUG